ensembl:lincRNA
UGUUCCUCCUCAAGAGGCAGGAUGUGAUCCACCAGCAAGAAGGUUGGAUCAACAUAGCCAUAAAUUUCUGAGCUCCCAGGCCUAUAAUGGAAAAGGACCUCCUUGCCAUCAUACUGUGAACUGAGUACACCUGCCUGUUUUCUUGGAUUUCCAACUUGCAGUAUUUCUUGCCAUCAUGACUUCUUAAAGAUCUUUAAAGAAACUGUCAGUUUUAUGUACCAAUGGAGGCUCAUAAGUUGCAUCUAUACUAUGGCAUCCAAGCAGAAUCACCCUGGGAUGGCUAUUCUUGGUCAUGAAGAUGGCUACAUCUGGAAUUAACUAAAUGUAAAAAUGGAGGCACACCUAUGAGGUAUGUUUACUUCCUUAUUUAUCUAUUUGUUUUGCUUAAUUUGAAGUAGGAAGAUCCACUUUUACUCCAGACCUUGAAGCUAGAAGAGACACACCUUUAAACUGAAUCUUGAGGCAGAAAGACAAAGGCCUUUAUUAUGGGACACACCUUUUGCUCAAAGCCUAUAUAAGGAUAUGGAAUCUGGGAGUUUCUGCUCUUUGCUUACUUUAGUCUUGUGCACAUUAGAUCCUACUUCUUCAGGAUUCCAGCAUCUACUGAAGAUCAGCUGAGGCAUCCAGUCUCGUGGACUUAGCAACUUCUGGAUUCUUGGACAUUUCAUUCAUAGUCAGCUAUAUGGAUCC